UACGUAGGGGGCGAGCGUUGUCCGGAUUUAUUGGGCGUAAAGAGCUCGUAGGCGGUUCGAUAAGUCGGAUGUGAAAUCUCCACGCUCAACGUGGAGGGGCCAUUCGAUACUGUCGUGACUCGAGUCCGGUAGGGGAGUGUGGAAUUCCCGGUGUAGCGGUGAAAUGCGCAGAGAUCGGGAGGAACACCCGUAGCGAAGGCGGCACUCUGGCCGGUACUGACGCUGAGGAGGCGAAAAGCGUGGGAGCAACAGGGA
rnacentral:rRNA from 1 species